rnacentral:rRNA from 1 species
GGGUUGUGAGGUUAAGCGACUAAGCGUACACGGUGGAUGCCCUGGCAGUCAGAGGCGAUGAAGGACGUGCUAAUCUGCGAAAAGCGUCGGUAAGGUGAUAUGAACCGUUAUAACCGGCGAUGUCCGAAUGGGGAAACCCAGUGCAAUUCGUUGCACUAUCGUUAACUGAAUACAUAGGUUAACGAGGCGAACCGGGGGAACUGAAACAUCUAAGUACCCCGAGGAAAAGAAAUCAACCGAGAUUCCCCCAGUAGCGGCGAGCGAACGGGGAGCAGCCCAGAGUCUGAAUCAGCUUGUGUGUUAGUGGAACGGUCUGGAAAGUCCGACGGUACAGGGUGAUAGUCCCGUACACCAAAAUGCACAGGCUGUGAACUCGAAGAGUAGGGCGGGACACGUGGUAUCCUGUCUGAAUAUGGGGGGACCAUCCUCCAAGGCUAAAUACUCCUGACUGACCGAUAGUGAACCAGUAGUACCGUGAGGGAAAGGCGAAAAGAACCCCGGCGAGGGGAGUGAAAAAAAAGAACCUGAAACCGUGUACGUACAAGCAGUGGGAGCACCUUCGGGUGUGACUGCGUACCUUUUGUAUAAUGGGUCAGCGACUUAUAUUUUGUAGCAAGGUUAACCGUAUAGGGGAGCCGCAGGGAAACCGAGUCUUAACUGGGCGUUAAGUUGCAGGGUAUAGACCCGAAACCCGGUGAUUCUAGCCAUGGGCAGGUUGAAGGUUGGGUAACACUAACUGGAGGACCGAACCGACUAAUGUUGAAAAAUUAGCGGAUGACUUGUGGCUGGGGGUGAAAGGCCAAUCAAACCGGGAGAUAGCUGGUUCUCCCCGAAAGCUAUUUAGGUAGCGCCUCGUGAACUCAUCUUCGGGGGUAGAGCACUGUUUCGGCUAGGGGGUCAUCCCGACUUACCAACCCGAUGCAAACUACGAAUACCGAAGAAUGUUAUCACGGGAGACACACGGCGGGUGCUAACGUCCGUCGUGAAGAGGGAAACAACCCAGACCGCCAGCUAAGGUCCCAAAGUCAUGGUUAAGUGGGAAACGAUGUGGGAAGGCACAGACAGCCAGGAUGUUGGCUUAGAAGCAGCCAUCAUUUAAAGAAAGCGUAAUAGCUCACUGGUCGAGUCGGCCUGCGCGGAAGAUGUAACGGGGCUAAACCAUGCACCGAAGCUGCGGCAGCGACACUAUGUGUUGUUGGGUAGGGGAGCGUUCUGUAAGCCUGCGAAGGUGUGCUGUGAGGGUUGCUGGAGGUAUCAGAAGUGCGAAUGCUGACAUAAGUAACGAUAAAGCGGGUGAAAAGCCCGCUCGCCGGAAGACCAAGGGUUCCUGUCCAACGUUAAUCGGGGCAGGGUGAGUCGACCCCUAAGGCGAGGCCGAAAGGCGUAGUCGAUGGGAAACAGGUUAAUAUUCCUGUACUUGGUGUUACUGCGAAGGGGGGACGGAGAAGGCUAUGUUAGCCGGGCGACGGUUGUCCCGGUUUAAGCAUGUAGGCUGGUUGUCCAGGCAAAUCCGGAUAAUCAAGGCUGAGGUGUGAUGACGAGGCACUACGGUGCUGAAGUAACAAAUGCCCUGCUUCCAGGAAAAGCCUCUAAGCAUCAGGUAACAUCAAAUCGUACCCCAAACCGACACAGGUGGUCAGGUAGAGAAUACCAAGGCGCUUGAGAGAACUCGGGUGAAGGAACUAGGCAAAAUGGUGCCGUAACUUCGGGAGAAGGCACGCUGGUGUGUAGGUGAAGUCCCUGCGGAUGGAGCUGAGACCAGUCGAAGAUACCAGCUGGCUGCAACUGUUUAUUAAAAAACACAGCACUGUGCAAACACGAAAGUGGACGUAUACGGUGUGACGCCUGCCCGGUGCCGGAAGGUUAAUUGAUGGGGUUAUCCGUAAGGAGAAGCUCUUGAUCGAAGCCCCGGUAAACGGCGGCCGUAACUAUAACGGUCCUAAGGUAGCGAAAUUCCUUGUCGGGUAAGUUCCGACCUGCACGAAUGGCGUAAUGAUGGCCAGGCUGUCUCCACCCGAGACUCAGUGAAAUUGAACUCGCUGUGAAGAUGCAGUGUACCCGCGGCAAGACGGAAAGACCCCGUGAACCUUUACUAUAGCUUGACACUGAACAUUGAGCCUUGAUGUGUAGGAUAGGUGGGAGGCUUUGAAGCGUGGACGCCAGUCUGCGUGGAGCCAACCUUGAAAUACCACCCUUUAAUGUUUGAUGUUCUAACGUUGGCCCCUGACCGGGGUUGCGGACAGUGUCUGGUGGGUAGUUUGACUGGGGCGGUCUCCUCCCAAAGCGUAACGGAGGAGCACGAAGGUUAGCUAAUCCUGGUCGGACAUCAGGAGGUUAGUGCAAUGGCAUAAGCUAGCUUGACUGCGAGCGUGACGGCGCGAGCAGGUGCGAAAGCAGGUCAUAGUGAUCCGGUGGUUCUGAAUGGAAGGGCCAUCGCUCAACGGAUAAAAGGUACUCCGGGGAUAACAGGCUGAUACCGCCCAAGAGUUCAUAUCGACGGCGGUGUUUGGCACCUCGAUGUCGGCUCAUCACAUCCUGGGGCUGAAGUAGGUCCCAAGGGUAUGGCUGUUCGCCAUUUAAAGUGGUACGCGAGCUGGGUUUAGAACGUCGUGAGACAGUUCGGUCCCUAUCUGCCGUGGGCGCUGGAGAAUUGCGGGGGGGCUGCUCCUAGUACGAGAGGACCGGAGUGGACGCAUCACUGGUGUUCGGGUUGUCAUGCCAAUGGCACUGCCCGGUAGCUAAAUGCGGAAGAGAUAAGUGCUGAAAGCAUCUAAGCACGAAACUUGCCCCGAGAUGAGUUCUCCCUGAGACUUUAAGUCUCCUGAAGGAACGUUAAAGACGAUGACGUUGAUAGGCCGGGUGUGUAAGCGCAGCGAUGCGUUGAGCUAACCGGUACUAAUGAACCGUGAGGCUUAACCUUACAACGCCGAAG